AGUGAACGCUGGCGGUAGGCCUAACACAUGCAAGUCGAACGGCAGCACAGUAAGAGCUUGCUCUUACGGGUGGCGAGUGGCGGACGGGUGAGGGAUACAUCGGAAUCUACUUUUUCGUGGGGGAUAACGUAGGGAAACUUACGCUAAUACCGCAUACGACCUACGGGUGAAAGCAGGGGAUCUUCGGACCUUGCGCGAUUGAAUGAGCCGAUGUCGGAUUGGCUAGUUGGCGGGGUAAAGGCCCACCAAGGCGACGAUCCGUAGCUGGUCUGAGAGGAUGAUCGGCCACACUGGAACUGAGACACGGUCCAGACUCCUACGGGAGGCAGCAGUGGGGAAUAUUGGACAAUGGGCGCAAGCCUGAUCCAGCCAUACCGCGUGAGUGAAGAAGGCCUUCGGGUUGUAAAGCCCUUUUGUUGGGAAAGAAAAGCAGCAGGUUAAUACCCCGCUGUUCUGACGGUACCCAAAGAAUAAGCACCGGCUAACUUCGUG
rnacentral:rRNA from 1 species